UCACCUGAAGAUGAGUCCGCGGCCCAUCAGCUAGUUGGCGGGGUAAUGGCCCACCAAGGCUACGACGGGUAGCUGGUCUGAGAGGACGAUCAGCCACACUGGGACUGAGACACGGCCCAG
rnacentral:rRNA from 1 species